UACGUAGGGGCCUAGCGUUGUCCGGAAUUAUUGGGCGUAAAGAGCUCGUAGGCGGUUCGGCAAGUCGGAUGUGAAAUCUCCACGCUUAACGUGGAGGGGCCAUUCGAAACUGCUGUGACUCGAGUCCGGUAGGGGAGUGUGGAAUUCCCGGUGUAGCGGUGAAAUGCGCAGAUAUCAGGAGGAACACCGGUGGCGAAGGCGGGUCUCUGGGCAGUAACUGACGCUGAGGAGCGAAAGCGUGGGGAGCGAACAGG
rnacentral:rRNA from 1 species